rnacentral:rRNA from 1 species
AUUGAACGCUGGCGGCAGGCUUAACACACGCAAGUCGAGCGGGGUGAUGGUGCUUGCACUAUCACUUAGCGGCGGACGGGUGAGUAAUGCUUAGGAAUCUGCCUAUUAGUGGGGGACAACAUCUCGAAAGGGAUGCUAAUACCGCAUACGUCCUACGGGAGAAAGCAGGGGAUCACUUGUGACCUUGCGCUAAUAGAUGAGCCUAGGUCGGAUUAGCUAGUUGGUGGGGUAAAGGCCUACCAAGGCGACGAUCUGUAGCGGGUCUGAGAGGAUGAUCCGCCACACUGGGACUGAGACACGGCCCAGACUCCUACGGGAGGCAGCAGUGGGGAAUAUUGGACAAUGGGGGGAACCCUGAUCCAGCCAUGCCGCGUGUGUGAAGAAGGCCUUAUGGUUGUAAAGCACUUUAAGCGAGGAGGAGGCUCUUUUGGUUAAUACCCAAGAUGAGUGGACGUUACUCGCAGAAUAAGCACCGGCUAACUCUGUGCCAGCAGCCGCGGUAA